GUGGCCAGACGAGAGAUACGAUAUUCUUU
rnacentral:piRNA from 1 species